CUUCUGCCAGAAUGCUUACAGCAAGUCUUUCUAUAUACAUUGGGGGCGUUUUGAUGUGCCUUGGACUGCAAGCAGCUACCUCGCGCUUUGACAGAAAUGCCAGCAAGGUUCUUUUUCCGGCUGAAACAUACUGGCUUUUUAAGCGAAGCAAAGGAGCAGACAUCACAUUCACAACGGCGAAUCGAUGCGUGUUAAUAGAGUACAUAAACGACACUGACACAGAGGACCUUGUUACGCUUGAGGCUCGCCCUUCUGAAAAAGCUGAUUGGGAAGCAACCAUGUACACAGCCACAGUCAAGUCAGGCAACGUUGACAUUCUUCAAUAUCGGCUUUUAGACGACAGUGGGACAG
rnacentral:lncRNA from 1 species